GAAGUUUUCAGAGAUGAGAAUGUGCCUUCGGGAACCGUGAGACAGGUGCUGCAUGGCUGUCGUCAGCUCGUGUUGUGAAAUGUUGGGUUAAGUCCCGCAACGAGCGCAACCCUUAUCCUUUGUUGCCAGCGGUCCGGCCGGGAACUCAAAGGAGACUGCCAGUGAUAAACUGGAGGAAGGUGGGGAUGACGUCAAGUCAUCAUGGCCCUUACGACCAGGGCUACACACGUGCUACAAUGGCGCAUACAAAGAGAAGCGACCUCGCGAGAGCAAGCGGACCUCAUAAAGUGCGUCGUAGUCCGGAUUGGAGUCUGCAACUCGACUCCAUGAAGUCGGAAUCGCUAGUAAUCGUGGAUCAGAAUGCCACGGUGAAUACGUUCCCGGGCCUUGUACACACCGCCCGUCACACCAUGGGAGUGGGUUGCAAAAGAAGUAGGUAGCUUAACCUUCGGGAGGGCGCUUACCACUUUGUGAUUCAUGACUGGGGUGAAGUCGUAACAAGGUAACCGUAGGGGAACCU
rnacentral:rRNA from 1 species